UUGAGAACUUUAUUAGCCCUUGGAAUUUCUGGUUUUGAUGAUGUUUCCGAGGGUCAUGGAAACUAGAAUUUUAGAGAAAACCUUGUUUGGUGCAAAAUCAAAGCUUAUGCAUUGGGUGACUUUCUUGUCGUCACAAUAUAUUUUGAAUGAUUAAUUUGUGGUUAAGAUAUAAGGUUGGUCCUUUCAUCUAAUACUGCAUGAGUGGCACUCAUAUGGAUCCGUUAUUUUAUGUACCUAUAGAGGAAUUUAUCUAUUUUCUUUUUUCAUUUAUCGCCUAGCAAACGUUUCUAUUGCCAAUUUACUGAAGUAAUCAUCUUUUCAUUUUUUUGAAAUAUAUGUUAAGGACCUAUACAUGAUAUCUUGGUUUGUCCUGGCUGCUCUAUGUUUCUUGUACGUUUUAAUUUUUUUAGUUUCACCGUGCUCUCUCCCUAUUUCCCCCCUGAACAACGGGAAACUCAUUUGUGUACAUUUAAAGUGUGAUCUGGUAAUACCUUUCAUAGUUGUGAGUUACUGGGUUAGCGUGAUCUUUUUAAUCUGAAAUCAUUUUUCUACAUGUUGAAAGUGUAGAAAAACUCUACAACAAGCUCUUUAACUGUACCACCACCUAUGGUGCAAAAACUCAUUUUUGAUUGAGAAAAAACUCCAUAUUAAUGGUUCAUGCUACUAUAUUCACUGUAUAUCAGAGCUUCACGAUGAAAAGAAUAGCUCGUGAGGUUUAAAGCAGUGAUAGAUUAAAGUUGGAGCUUCACGAUGCUUCUGAUCUUAAAUAGAUCAGUUGAUGAAAGUCUUAAGAAGGCUGCCUCUGACAUGUAUUAUUGCUUAUUUUUAUUAGAUUUUGCUAAGCAAUUUGUGCUAUAGAAAGAGUUUGUUAAAUUUUUGACACAAAUUAGAAGUGCUCACUUUUGGAAACCUUAAAGGGCCAAAAAUGCUCAAGAGCAUAUUUGAGGAACAACUUUUAACCUACACCCAAACAUAAGUGAUAUUGUUUUUUUCUUGUUCCUAGUGAUUGAAUUAUCUUUGAUGUUAUGUUUUUGAUAAUUUUUAUUGGCAGAAUUUGAAAAUAUGAAAUGCUCUUGAAAAUUUUGCCUAAAGUUUAGCUUUACGGAUGCUUAUACAUUCUCUCUAUUGGAUAUUCUUAAUCUGAAAUUGUAAUUUCCAUCAUGUGUGCCUGUUGUUUUGCGUCUUCAGGAUCUAUAGGACUUGGUGGUUCAGUUGAUCUUCUAGACCAUUAUAAACUUAGGAAACAUCUUGAUUUUUUAUGUAAGUGAUCAUUACCACCCUUUAUAUCUGAGACAGAAUACCUUAGGAGUGUGGUGGGGGACAGAGAAAUAAGGAGAGGUGAAGGGAUGGAACUAGAUCAGCUGUCCAAAAGCUCCUCCUAUGAGGGACGCAGAUGUGUACACUUGUAUUCCUUUUGGCUUGGAUCUACUCACGGAUGCUUUUCGGCUCAUAGAAAUAUGAUCUGUUGAUCUUCCAUCGGCAGGUAUUGGGUUACCUUCAGGUGCAUCAAGGCAUAAAAAGAACAAACACAAAGAUAGGUCAAGGAAACAGGAUCCUAACAGUUGAAUUGAUAAGGAUCGCAUGCCAAUCAGGGAUAACAAUAAGGAGAAAAAUGGGAGUAAGAAGCAGAAUCAUCGUCCAGAUUUGUUUCUGAGACAGCAAGUAUAGGUAACACAUAACCCGGGUUUCAUUUUUGUGAUAGUGGUUAGAUCCAAGAUAAAAAUUUGGCUUCUUCUUUCAAUAGCAAUUUUGAAUGGUGUAAAUGAUUGUCCUUGGCUUGCAGACUUGAAAUUAAUUUUAUGCUUCUUGCCAUGAACAGUUGCUUAUAUUUUUUCAUGAUCAAUUCUACAUCUAAUAUUUCAAAUGGAACUCUUUCAGCAUAAAAUGUGAAGUAU